rnacentral:tRNA from 1 species
UUUAGGGAGACCUAAGGCACAUACCAAGUGGCAGCACAAAGGGAAGAGAUAUCCUGAGUAAGCUAUUGAAUAUAUAAGCUUGGAUGUUUAGCCUAAUCCCAAGGUCGGAACGAGUGAUGGGAGCAAAAGUUUCAAACUAUUGGUUAGGUUCGGAAUCUAUCAAUCGAGGGCUAUUAGCUCAGGUGGUUAGAGCGCACCCCUGAUGAGGGUGAGGUCCCUGGUUCAAGUCCAGGAUGGCCCACCAGAUAAUUACCAUUAUCGGAGCAAGAGAACAGCACCUGUACCAACACUGACUCAGGGUAACUGAUGAGGAGGGUGGUAGGGAUGCUGGGGGAUGACUCCAGUAAAUGAACCUUGAAAACUGCAUAGCCAGAUGUCUGCCCAGCAAGUGAGUAUCUGACGAGACAAUAGCUAUUGAAUCGUUUGAACGAACUGCAAUCAAGAAAAAGAACAAUUGGUCAAGCUAACAAGAGCUAAUGGU